UUAUAGGGUUAUGAGAAAUUUAAAAGUAAAAUAUCCUCCAGAAUACAUAUAGUGAUAGCGAUAUACAAAAUACAUACAUAUGUGUAUACGAUUAUACAUUAAUACGAUUACUAUUUGUGGAGAAUCGCGUUGUUUCGUAGCUGUUCAGCGUUUGAAGCGACAGUUCGUUUCGAUAUCAUUCCCGAUUUUGAUUCUCGGCCGCCCAGCUGGCCAUCGCAUGAUUAACGCAAUGAAACGAAAAUGCUGGAACGGAGCAGCCUACGUUUUGUGUUCGAUCGAUUGUCAGGCUACUUUUGCAAAGAAUGUUUCCCAGUAGUGAAAUUCGUUUGCAUCGUCGGAUACGUUCGAUCUUUGAACCGAGGAAGACUGUUCUCGUGAACGAUGCUCGUUCUUCCAUGUGGAUUCCGAAUGCACUAUUAGGAAACAAUUAACAUACGUGCAUUUAACUGCAAUGAACAGAAUUAGCAA